rnacentral:rRNA from 1 species
AGAUUGAACGCUGGCGGCAGGCCUAACACAUGCAAGUCGAGCGGCAGCACGGGUACUUGUACCUGGUGGCGAGCGGCGGACGGGUGAGUAAUGCCUAGGAAUCUGCCUGGUAGUGGGGGAUAACGCUCGGAAGCGGACGCUAAUACCGCAUACGUCCUACGGGAGAAAGCAGGGGACCUUCGGGCCUUGCGCUAUCAGAUGAGCCUAGGUCGGAUUAGCUAGUUGGUGGGGUAAUGGCUCACCAAGGCGACGAUCCGUAACUGGUCUGAGAGGAUGAUCAGUCACACCGGAACUGAGACACGGUCCGGACUCCUACGGGAGGCAGCAGUGGGAAUAUGGACAAUGGGCGCAAGCCUGACCCAGCAAUGCCGCGUGUGUGAAGAAGGCCUUGGUGUAAGCUACUUAAGUUAGGAAGAAAACUCGACUACUAACACAGUGAGUCUUGACGUACGACAGAAUAAGCACCGACUAACUCUGUGACCAG